CUCCCGCGCCUAAUAGAUGCGAGCUCGAGCGGACAGAGAAGGAGCGUGGUCCUUUGACGAUAGGGGCGGGAGGGGGGGGGGGUGUGGGCGCGCUAGCUGAUAGUGUGGGAUAACUCCGGGAAAGCAGGGGCUAAUACCGAAUAAUCUGUUUCACCUCGUGGUGAAAUGUUGAAAGACGGUUUCGGCUGUCUCUAUAGGAGGGGCCCGCGGGGCAGUAGCUAGUGGGUGAGGUAACGGCUCACCAAGGGGACGAUGCGUAGCCGACCUGAGAGGGUGAUCGGCCACACUGGGACUGACACACGGCCCACACUCCUACGGGAGGCAGCAGUAGGGAAUCUUCCACAAUGGGCGAAAGCCUGAUGGAGCAACGCCGCGUGAGUGAAGAAGGAUUUCGGUUCGUAAAACUCUGUUGUAAGGGAAGAACAAGUACAGUAGUAACUGGCUGUACCUUGACGGUACCUUAUUAGAAAGCCACGGCUAACUACGUGCCAGCAGCCGCGGUAAUACGUAGGUGGCAAGCGUUGUCCGGAAUUAUUGGGCGUAAAGCGCGCGCAGGUGGUUUCUUAAGUCUGAUGUGAAAGCCCACGGCUCAACCGUGGAGGGUCAUUGGAAACUGGGAGACUUGAGUGCAAAAGAGGAUAGUGGAAUUCCAAGUGUAGCGGUGAAAUGCGUAGAGAUUUGGAGGAACACCAGUGGCGAAGGCGACUAUCUGGUCUGUAACUGACACUGACGCGCGAAAGCGUGGGAGAGCAAACAGGAUUAGAUACCCUGGUAGUCCACGCCGUAAACGAUGAGUGCUAAGUGUUAGGGGGGUUUUCCGCCCCCUUAGUGCUGCAGCUAACGCAUUAAGCACUCCGCCUGGGGAGUACGGUCGCAAGACUGAAACUCAAAGGAAUUGACGGGGCGCCCGCACAAGGCGGGUGGAGCAUGUGGUUUAAUUUCGGAAGCAACGCGAAGGACUCUUACCAGGUCGUGACAUCCCUGUUAGACUACUUGUAGAAGAAUAUGGUCUCUCCUUACGGGCGCAACGUCGAACAGUGGUGCAUGAUGUCGUCAGCUCGGUCAGAGAUGUGGAUAAGCUUCCCGGA
rnacentral:rRNA from 1 species